rnacentral:rRNA from 1 species
AUUGAACGCUGGCGGCAUGCCUUACACAUGCAAGUCGAACGUUAACAGGUCUUCGGAUGCUGACGAGUGGCGAACGGGUGAGUAAUACAUCGGAACGUGCCUAGUAGUGGGGGAUAACUACUCGAAAGAGUGGCUAAUACCGCAUGAGAUCUACGGAUGAAAGCAGGGGAUCGCAAGACCUUGUGCUACUAGAGCGGCCGAUGGCAGAUUAGGGAGUUGGUGGGAUAAAAGCUUACCAAGCCGACGAUCUGUCGCUGGUCUGAGAGGACGAUCAGCCACACUGGAACGUAGAAACUGCCCAGACUCCAACGGGAGGCAGCAGUUGGGAAUUUUGGACAAUGGGCGCAAGCCUGAUCCAGCAAUGCCGCGUGCAGGAUGAAGGCCUUCGGGUUGUAAACUGCUUUUGUACGGAACGAAAAGCCCCGGGUUAAUACCCUGGGGUCAUGACGGUACCGUAAGAAUAAGCACCGGCUAACUACGUGCCAGCCGCCGCCGUAA